CUUGCUGAGGAGCGCUGCAUCCCCUGCUCACCGGGGGUCAGGCUCAGCGAAAUAAACGGCGCUCGCAUCGA
rnacentral:ncRNA from 2 species